GAGGGUGAUCGGCCACAUUGGGACUGAGAUACGGCCCAGACUCCUACGGGAGGCAGCAGUAGGGAAUUUUGCGCAAUGGACGAAAGUCUGACGCAGCGACGCCGCGUGAGCGAUGAAGGUCUUCGGAUUGUAAAGCUCUGUUGGGUGGGAAGAAAACCCUUUGGGAGAAUAUCCCUGUGGCUUGACGGUACCACUCGAGGAAGCCCCGGCUAACUACGUGCCAGCAGCCGCGGUAAUACGUAGGGGGCAAGCGUUGUUCGGAAUCACUGGGCGUAAAGGGAGUGUAGGCGGGGAGGUAAGUUAGAAGUUAAAUACACAGGCUCAACUCGUGGUCUGCUUUUAAUACUGCCUUUCUUGAGUAUGGGAGAGGGUGAUGGAAUUCCAGGUGUAGCGGUGGAAUGCGUAGAUAUCUGGAAGAACACCAGUUGCGAAGGCGGUCACCUGGCCCAAUACUGACGCUGAGGCUCGAAAGCUAGGGGAGCGAACAGGAUUAGAUACCCUGGUAGUCCUAGCCGUAAACGAUGGAUACUAGUUGCUGGAGGAGUCAAUACUUUCAGUGACGAAGCUAACGCAUUAAGUAUCCCGCCUGGGGAGUACGCUCGCAAGGGUGAAACUCAAAGGAAUUGACGGGGGCCCGCACAAGCGGUGGAGCAUGUGCUUCAAUUCGAAGCAACGCGAAGAACCUUACCUGGGUUUGACAUGGGAGUGAAAGCCACCAGAGAUGGAGGCCCUUCCGCAAGGAACAUUCCACACAGGUGCUGCAUGGUUGUCGUCAGCUCGUGUCGUGAGAUGUUUGGUUAAGUCCCGCAACGAGCGCAACCCCUACCCUUAGUUGCCAUCAGGUAAAGCUGGGAACUCUAAGGGGACUGCCUGUCAUAAACAGGAGGAAGGUGGGGAUGACGUCAAAUCAUCAUGGCCCUUACAUCCAGGGCUAGACACGUGCUACAAUGGCUGGUACAGAGGGAUGCGAACCUGCGAGGGUAAGCUAAUCCCUGAAAACCAGUCUCAGUCCGGAUUGGAGUCUGCAACUCGACUCCAUGAAGUUGGAAUCGCUAGUAAUCGCGGAUCAGCGUGCCGCGGUGAAUACGUUCCCGGGCCUUGUACACACCGCCCGUCAAGCCAUGAAAGACGGUAGUGCCCGAAGUCGUGCGCCCAACCGCAAGGGGGGCAGCGCCUAAGGUAAGACCGUUGAUUGGGGCUAAGUCGUAACAAGGUA
rnacentral:rRNA from 1 species